CGAAAAAUGCGUUCAACGCUACUGAUUUGUUAUUGCUUGACUCGAGUAUCGUACGCGAGUCCAUGGCAUCCCGCGAACCCGACGCUCGGAGAGCAAGCGGAUCUGGUGGGAGCGGCGAACGAGAAUUUCAGCCCGAACCAGAUUCGGGCACCCGAAAGUGAUCGGACCAAAGACGCGAUCGAUUUUCCAGACUUCGAUAACGUUUUCAACGCGACGCGCUCUCGAGACCGCGAACCUUUGGACGACGUGGAACGCAUCGAGCCCGGACAAUGGCCCGUCAGACCGGACACGUUCUACACGCAGAGUUCGAUUUCUUCGAGCACAUCGAUCUCGUCGCGAACUCCGUUCGAUUCGCCAACGCUCGCUCAAAGGGAUCCAUCGACGCGGAGGUGCCCCCCGAUGAGCGGAUCACCGCCGGUACUCGCAGCAUCCGUCGACGAAGUUUUCUGCGACUUCAACGCGUUUCCGACGCAAACGCUUUGCGAGUGGCAAAACGGGGACGGCGUCUUAGAUUGGAGAGCAGGUACCGGCAUGGCUACCAAUUGGAUGGGUGGGCCCCCGAGCGAUUACACCACCGGAACCAUGGAAGGAGGGUACGCUUUUUUGGAAACCUCGCAGAUACCGGUGUCGAAGGACGGCAAGGCGAGAACCUUGGGAGGACUGUUGCACAGUCCUCAAUUGGGGAAUACCGGUGUGAGCGGAACCUGCGUCACGUUCAAGUACACGCUGGAUGGACUGAGCGUGGCUGGUUUGAGAGUGUUGAUUCACGCGGGAACGGACGAGUAUUCGAGCAAGAAGGAGGAAACGGAGGCGAUGGGAACCGACAACGGCACGAUACCGUCCUGCAAGCCUUUCGUCGCUGAAACGAUCGGCGAGCGUGUCAUUUGGAACGCCGAGUACUACACCCUCGGCGUUUGGCAGCACGCGCAAGUGCUCUAUACCUAUCCCGAGUUACAUUCGGUGGUCAUCGAGGGCAUUCCCGUGGAUCCCACCGACGCGGCUCGCUUGUACAGAGGAUACGCAGCCGUGGACGACAUAGAUUUGCAACCCGGUACUUCUUGCGUCGGGUUCUGCAACUUCGCGGGCGGGUUUUGCGAUUGGAGCAACGACGCGGAGGAUGAUUUCGACUGGACGAUCAGCCGAGGAAGCGGAAAUCCAACGACCGGGCCGGCCAUGGACAGCUCCAGCGAGCGUUCGACGGCCGGAGGAUACGCGUACAUAGACUCGUCGUAUCCGCGCAGACCAGGAGACAGAGCCAGACUUCUUAGCACGAGUUUCCCCGCCCCGAAUGCCGACGCACCCAUGUGUCUCCACUUUUGGUUCCACAUGUUUGGUACCGGAAUCGGCGCGUUGAAGCUGUUCGUCAGACAUUUUCGUAGCUUGGACGCGCCCCUUCGAGAGAUUUGGGCGUUGAACGGAAACGCUGGGAACACGUGGUUCGUUGCCGAAAUCACCGUCAGCUCCUUGGACGAUUUUCAGCUGGUGUUCGAGGCUUCGGUGGGGAACACUGGAAUGGGCGAUAUCGCCAUCGACGACAUCUCUUUCGCGCAAGGAUCUUGCCCGAUUUCGCCUCAAGUCGCUGCACCGACACCGCGAGACUGCAGCUUCGAAGUCGACGAGUGCGACUGGAUCAACUCCAGAGAUCCUGAUCGUGUUGAAUGGGAACGGGUGUCGUUUCAAGUGCUCGGCUCGAGGAACCAGCGGAAACCGUACAGCAACGGGUAUACGAUCAAUCGGAGAAACGAGUUUUUCCUCGGUCUGGGACGUCCACGGGGAGGGCCGCGGUCGUCCGGAGGCGGAACGGCGCAGCUCGUUAGUCGUGAAAUCAAUGGCAGCGAGGAGUCCGUUUGCAUUACUUUUUGGUAUUUGAUGUUCGAAUCUUUCAUCGAUUCCAGUGGACCGAGCCUGGGAGUGCUUCGGGUAUCGGUGCAGACAACCGGGGAAUCUUCUACCGAGUCCAGGUCGAUUUGGCAGCUUUACAACGAUCAAGGACCCACGUGGAAUUACGCUCAAAUCAGCGUCGCCGAGAAGAGGGACUUCAACGUGGUGUUCGAGGGUACGUGGGGCCCGAAUCGAGCCAGCGGCAGCAUAGGCAUCGACGAUAUUUCCUUUUACACCGGCAAAUGUACAGUGAAACCACCGAGCGCGUCGGCCAGGCCGGAAGACUGCAGCUUCGAGAAAGGACUGUGCGGAUGGGAAAAUAUUACUUUGUCGGACAACGAACGCGCAGUCACUUGGCAGAGCGCUUUUCUUACUCAUCGACCGGCUCAGUUGUUGGACAAGACGUUCGGAGCGACCGGUGAUUUCAUCUUUUUCGAUAUAUUUACGACCAAUCAGAAGUCGACGGAUGUACGGCUGCGAUCACCGAUUGUACAAACAUCGCCGGACGAAGAAUCCGUUUGUUUCACCUUUUGGUUCGCCGCUUUCGGAGUCGAAGAAUCCACCACGCUGCAAGUGAUCAAGAUGAACGCGGAGGAAGAACAAGGCGUUCCGAACGAUACCGGAGCAAACCAGGAGCAAACUCUAUGGUCGUUAACCGCUAAAGGAUUUAAUAAUCCGAGGCCUGUAUGGACGGCAGGACAAGUCACGAUAGACGCGCGUGUACCUUAUCAUCUGAUUUUGCGAGGAAGCGCCAGCAACGGAGGUUUCGCUAUCGACGAUAUUAAAUUCCAGCCUCAAACCUGUACAACUAUUCCUCGUAUGUUCCAUCCCGAAAUAAACGGAAGGAAGGCCCGAACGGAGUCUCGAACGACAACCCCGCGAACAACAACGGAUAUCGUCGCGAGGUUGGGCGCAUCCACUCGCGCGUCCAUCCGACGCUGUUGAAAGCGCCGGAAAUCGGCAUUGACGUUGGAUCGCACGGACGCGUAAAAGAAAUCCCACCUUUUGGACCGAAUGCGAAUAGAUCGGAACGAGGUCGCGAUCGCGAUGGAAGGACGAGUAGGAUGUCUCGCGGAAAAGAAGAUGAGGAAGAAGCGAAAGGAGUUGGAAGAAAAAGGAUCGGUGUUUCGAACGGAGGAUGAACUCGCGUAAAUCGAGCAAGCGGCGAACGAGGGAACGAGAGAACGAGCAAAGGACGAGCAAAGAACCAGUCGGCCAGUCGUCCAGUCACAUGAAUGGAUCCAGAGGACAUGCAGAGUUAGCGAGAUAGAGAGAGAUAGAGAGAGAGAGAGAGAGAGAGAGAGAGAGAAAGAGAGAGAGAAAGAAAGAGAGGGAGAGGGUGAGCGAAACAGAGACGGUGGCAAGGAUGGAAGGAGGUCAAGAGUGGAACGAGGAGAAGCUGGUGAAUGAACGAGAGUCGGAUUCACUAACCUGCCAGUCCACGCAGUCCGGAAACCGACGAGCAACUGACAGAGUUGCCGUCAUCGGGUCGACUAUUCGCCUUCCUUUCCAUCCCCGCUUCCAGCACACCCCUGGCUCUCGUUUCCUCCCUGCCUUUUCCACCCUCCUCUUUCGAGCUCCCUCUCAUCUCCCCGUUGCACCCUCUUUGCAACCACCAGCGUCCUCCCGCCGUUCUCGCCUCACCUCGCCGCCGCCGCUCCAUUCUCUCCCGAUUCUCGCCCUCUCCGUCACCCUCACCGCGUCCUUCCUUCGCUCGCCGUAGGCGCGCCGACGAUCUCGUUGUUUCGGCGAGCGCCGCGAGCAACCGCGUUUCUCUCUCUCUCUCUCUUUCUUAUUUUCCCCCGUUCGUUUCGUCGAGAAAAGUUCUCCGCGCGUUGCGAUCGUUGAGAUCGGAAGAAUCGAUUUCCGAUUUCGCGACAAACUUUUCGUCCGUAUUUCCAUUCGGUUCGAUCGUCUCGGAAAUCGCGUGCCGGAAAUUUUCAUCGGCUUCGCGACAGAGAUUAUGGAAUCGCGAUAAUUGGGCGGAGAGACGAACCGACCGAUCCGGAAGAACGUCGGAAGUCGCGCACGGUUCGUUCGAUGGUUCCUCGACGAUACAAAGUUCGAAGAGAUGGAAAAGAUUUUCGAUCGGUCGAUCGACGCCGUAAAAGGGCGUCGAAGCGCGAGCCAGCCGCCUCUCCGCGCAACAAGUUUCUCUCGAGGACUCGAAAUCGUCGGACUCUCCUCGCGACUUACCCCCGAACCCAGAACACCGAACCGAGCGCUUCCUGCCUUCCGAUAGAAUUUCGAUUUAGGAACGGCUCAUCGACCGACGAGAAUUUUCGUCGAAGCGAAACCAUUGGUACGGAAUCGGGUCGACGAGUCGUGCGAAUUUUGUAAAAAAAGCCGU